GUCCAGAUAGUUUAUAAAAAAAUAUCAGGUAGUGGCCCUGAAGAAAUUAAUCUAGACA
rnacentral:tRNA from 1 species